rnacentral:lncRNA from 1 species
CUCCAUUAAAGGGCUGACUGCCACUGGGGAAGGAUUUCUUUCUGGAGAUCCCUUCUUGGUAAAGCUUUCCCCUGAGAACCUGGAAUAUUCUAAUACAGAUACAGCAGCUGGGUCGAGAAAAGAAGAGCAUCUUACUCUGAAAACAAGAGAAGACUUGAGAGAGACUCACAGAAUCAGACAUGAGUUCACUUACACAAACUGAAAGGGAGGAUCUUGCUCCCAUAUUACCCUGCAGGAGAACAGCAGUAUUUCAGCUGUGCUGCUCAAAAGAUGACAUCACCUUUCUUCCUAUUAUACACCUGUGCAGUGCAGAAAAAACUGCAUCCAUCGGGCUGUUCAUCUGUAAUUAAAGUAUCACAGCAUAAUUGCUAAGUAUCAUCUUCAUCAGCAAUUUCACCCCAAGUGUGUCCCAGGUAGAAGUUCAAUCCUCGCAGAGCAGAAUUCCUGGUAGCCACUUUCAUCCAGCGUCAUAUUGCAAAAGUUCAGGGAUGUAUAACCAUUAAGAGAUGUCUCCAUGGCACCUAACAGGCAGUAGCACAGCUUCCUGAAAGCCCAUACAUCAUGCAUUUGAUAUUUAGUUUUUAGCAGCUUAUAGAAUAUAAAUUGACAAAUAUUCAUAUUUCCUGCUAUUUGCUCUGCCGGCCAGCAGUAGUAAAAUAUUUUGUUGUUGCCCACAGCAUAUGCAUAUUUUAUAUAUAUAGAUUUAUAUAACACCUACACAAACAUUUUGGUAAGCAUAUGAGCAAGGAUCCAUCCAAUCUUUGGAAUAAGGAAGAUGUAAGUGCUGUUAAGACCAACAUGCUCUAUUAUAAUUCCUUCAGAUAUAAACUCAAUUCUGUGAAAUAAGCAAAAACGAAGCAGGUAAUGUAGCAAUUAAAUGUAACUGGAAGAGAGUCUUAACACAAAUUUAGUGAAUUUUGUAAACAGGUACAUAGUAAACAAACAACAGAACACGCAAAACAGCUAGGCUUUAUUCCAGCACCAGAAAAGCAUGCCUUGAACGUGCUCUGGGAAAGUGAAUGACUCUCCCUAUGUGUUUGUGAAGGGAAAAGCUGAGAAAACAGCUGCAGGAGAAACUGUUGUGUAGACUACAGUCCAAUACAUUUCAGCUCCCUCUUGCCCCUUGGUUGAUCCUUGGCUGCAUACGAAGCUACAGCCCCAAGCAAACCCUCACAUGCUCUGCCCAUAGGCUGAACAGUAGCCUGAUAUAACUUCCUGCAGCGCAGCCUUCCGCAGAACAGCAAGAGGGGAACCCCGCCAUUGCUACCUCCUGGUGUCCAGACAGCAGUGGAGCAUCUCAUCACCACUGAUGUACUCCACCUCAGCCCAUCAGCACAGCUGUCUAAGAGGCCCUAAGCCUGCCAGGAGACAUCCUGCACUGCCACUCUAUGAAAUGACAAAUUUCACAGCUAAGCGUCUUCAAAGCUGUUGCUCGUGCAGGCAGCACCCAGGCUGGUAGUGCCAUACCCCCAGGCAGAGGAUGUCCAGCCUGCAGCUGACAUCCUUACUGACUGCAUCGAUGCCCUGUCCAGAUGAACAGCAGAGAUACAGUACUAGCUGCAAGAACGGAUGGUCCUAGAGCAGGACAAACAAAUACAACUCAUGGUUGUUUACCUUCAAGGAAAGGAACCACACAAAGACUGACUAAAAAAAGACAACAAAAUGCUUUAUUCCUACGAUACUCCAUGGUGUGACUACUGGUCUCUGUCACAGCUAUGUGGCUGUCCAGUGCUUAUAUGUGACAGUUUACACUGGUAUUUUGGUGCACUGUAUCAUCUUUGGGACAGAAAAAAGCACAUGGCAGACAGAGCCAACAUCUCCCCAGCUAACUCUGCCUGCAGGCUGGUAGCUAUUCGCUAUCUGUCCACAGAGAAAAAAAGCCUCAGCCAAAAACUUAUAACCCGUGGCUGCGUGCCACACAGAGCAUUUGUAACCCUUCAUCUCUCUACAUAUUGUAGUAUGUAUCGUAGCUGACACAUCUUUCCCAACUACUUCAGCUGAAUGUGUAAACUCUUAGCACAUACCUUCUAAAGCAACAAAUUCCCUGCCUGAGCGGCAAGCACAAGCUUUUUCUCUCUGAUCAUAACAGCAGUAGCAGUGCAAACAAGAAAGCAGUGACUGCAACAAGUCACUUGCUCUCUACUUUGUCAUUAACUGCAAUUGUCCACGAAUUUGUUUUCAAAACCUGUCUGCUGAGUCCAAAACCAAAAUGCAUCAAGCAACAUUUAUGUACAACUGAGCUAUUUCAGUUCUCCAGGCAGCCUGCAGCAGCUAGAGGGCACACGAGGCAUGCUGCAGAGGUAGUCCUGCAACCCUAACUGCAGGCACAGCAAGGAAACCUAAGUCUUUGACAGAAAUUCCCUUUCAUACAAAGUAACACAGUUUAAAUGGAUGAUUUCUCAUUGUGUUGUUGUUGUAUGAAGAGCUGAAGGCCACAGACAUGACAAAUGAAAUAUAUUUCAGUCCAAACCAUUGUCCUGAUCAAAGUGAAUUCCUGUAAGAUUUUUGCUGUGCAAUGUGUAGCGCUCUUUGCAGCCACUCUGACUUUCAAGGGCUGCAUCUAAAUUAAUACCAAAACUUUCAGUCUCCUAACACCCCAGUGAAUAAGGGAAGGCUUGUGAGAAAAGACAUGGUUGGUGAAAGGCGUCUGGUGGAGCAGUGGGGAUUGCUUUUGUACUUCUUUCACUCACGCAUGACCUCCAGCUCCAGAAGAGCUACUUCUGAUGCCUGCUGAUGUCUUGAAAAGAGAGGAAAAAUAUGUAACAAUAAACAUGAAAGGAAAAUAUAGAUGCUUCAUUUUCUUCCUUAAAAAACAAUUUUCUUUUUUUUAAUGGAAACAUUAAAAACAGGAGUAUCCCUGUUGGAGGGGGCAGAGGUAGCUGUUGUAAGUACACUGUCAGUAGCAGAAAAAAAAAGCACAAUAGCAGCAAGAAAAAUAAUUAAUUGAGGCUUUAAGGUCCAGUAAUUUUCCUUCAAAACUACAGAUAGUCUGUUCUGCUGAUCUAGUAAGCUCAGUUUCAGGAAUGUCAUAGCACACAGUCAGAUAGGAAAGAAAGUCCUUCUUGGUAGCAAGAUUUGUCACAGCCAGAGCACUCUCCCCACAGAGAGGCUGUGAUGGGGAUGUAGCAUGGGCAGCCCUGCCAUGCCGCUUGCCCUGCCCUGGACCAGGUCCAACAGGAGGGGAUGCAGUGGCUCCGUGUUAGAAGCAAAGGCUGGAGAAGGCAGCCCUGCUGAUCCCAGCUGAAGAGUCACUUGCAAACCACACAUGCUAGAUGAUCAAGAUCAGAGGAGAACCGUAGGGUACAAAAAUAAAUUUUAUCUAAAUCAAAGAAAUUCAAUUCAACUGCAACUGUUAGCCAGCCCUUCCAUGACACAAUCCUCAUUAGCAAGUGAAAACGUCACUACAGCUUCUUCCAAGAAUACAUGAAAAUACCAUGCCAAUGGAUAACCACUGCUCAUUUAAAUGACAGUCCACACCAAAAUGCAGCAUUUUGCUCAUAGUGCUUGUCUUCUGGUAUCUAAGUCAUGCCAUCCUAAAGCAGAACUUAUGAUCUCUUGAUUUUAUUUGUAAUUGCCUUGUCAGACUUUAACACAAGCAGAAAUAAGAGUCUCAGAAAGCUAGCAGAAGAUGUCUGAAGACAACCUGUUUUUUUCCACCUUGGGCUAGAAAAGGGAACUUCACCUGCUCUUAUAUCUGCCCCACUUACAGGAUAUGUGACUCUUGCAUAAUUAGCUCUGAAAAAACAGUAACUCUGUUCACAGACAAUAGUUGUUCAUAUGAACAACUCUGUUCAUAGACAUUUGACAACAAAGGCUGCUCAUUACAUGCAUUUCUUUUUAUCUUAAGGAUUACUUGUGAGCCAGAAUCACAGCACACAUUUGAAGAACAUACUAUGGCAGAGAAGUACAUACGCAUCUGCAGAGAGCAGUACAUAAAUCAGGAAAGACUAAAAAUAUCCAAUUCAUAUAAGGCUUCCCAACAUGUUCCGGUAAACUUCAAACCUACCUUUAAACCUAUCCAAAGCACACAGGACGCGCCAUUGGUGAACAGGACAUUGCUGUGACUAUGAUGUAAGAAAAAUGAGACAAGCCUGCAGUGUGGGAGAAGCAACAGAUGCUACUGCACAGGGCACUGAAAGCAAAGCAGGCCCAGCUGAGCCUUCCUGCCUUGCUCAGGAAAAGCUUCCACCUCACACAACAUCCUCCAAGACACACCAACCUUGGGUUAAGCAAAAAGCAACACAGGCAUACAGAGCUGGAUUGCAGUGAGAGAGCUUCAAGGGCAGCAGUUCCAGGAGCUCAUUUAGGGCCUGCUUGGCAUUCCACUGUUGCAACUCUCGCCCCUGAACCUCUUCUACUAUCCCUCCCACACAUAUUUUAUUGACCCCUUUUAUUUGCUUCUCUCCUUGAUAUAUCCAUUCAGAAAAUAGCAGCAAAAAUAAGAUUGAUUCCACAUUUUUCCUUUUUCAGUCAAAUCCACUUUGUUGAAACCUCUCUGAUUCAUCAUAAGCUCUCUUCAGCAGGCCCAAACAACUAAACUGCAGCUGUGCAACAAGAGAUGCUCCUGGUACUGCCAGACUGCAGCAACUUGCUUAGAAACACUCAACUGUGGGCUUCUGCAAACACAUCUCCACCUUCUAUCUGAAGACCUUCAACUUGCAUAACCAAGUCAGCAUUUCUUUACAUGGUUUCAAAAAUCAUGUUUAUUCCUUAGUUUAAAAGAUUUUGGUUCAACAGUAUUAUAAACAAACUUCACCAGAAGUGCAGUAAUUAUAAACAUAGCCCUCAGUCGCAGUGGUAGUAAGAAUCUUUACUUUCAUCAUAAAGUUCAUUAAUGCAACAGAAGGAUGGUUUUGUUCUUCCUCCCUCAUUGGCACUUCAUUGUGAGUUGGAGAAACUUUAAUAAGUCAGAAAGUUAAUCUAAACAUGAGGUUACAAGCACCUUGCCAUAGCAUUAUAUUCCCAUAUGGCAAAUUUUUGUUUCAUAAAGUCUGAUUGUGCAACUUGGAGACCCAUAGAAGGUGACAGAAAUGUCAGUCUUCUCCAAUAAGAAAUAGGCCUUCAUUUUUGCUUCAAUGUCUUCAACGCUCCACACUCCCUAUCCCUUACAAAAAAAGCCAAAACAAACAAACAACAAAAAAAAAACAGUACAGCCAAUAAUACAGCACAAUAUGUCCAUUACAGGCUGAGAGGAAAUUACAGUAGACAAAGGCAGAAAACACAGUGCAC